CCUUAAAUCCCAAAGUCAUUAGUUUUUCCUUUCUAAAACGAGCCGCCCCUCGAGGGGUAGCGGCAACGUGGAGCACGGCGGAGCACGGUGGAGCAUUGGCGGCGGAGGAGGUGGAUGAGGAGAUGGGGAGGAUUCGGCGGCUGCAGAAUGGGUCGGACGUGAGAGGGGUGGCGAUCGCGGGGGAAAAGGGAAGGGUGGUGGAUUUGACGGCGGCAACCGUGGAGGCGAUAGCGGAGAGUUUCGCGGAGUGGGUAAUCGAGGGUAUGGAAACGGGGCAAAGCGUAAGUGUUUCGGUUGGGAGAGACCCGAGAAUUUCCGGCGGUGCUUUGAGUGUUGCGGUGUUCGCCGGAGUUAGUAGGGCAGGAUGUUUGGUGUUUGAUAUGGGACUUGCCACCACGCCGGCGUGUUUCAUGAGCACCGUUUUGUCUCCUUUUUCUUAUGAUGCUUCUAUUAUGGUUGGUUCAUGUUCAUGGACCCAAAUUUAUAUAAAUACCUAAAUUAUAUAUACUUUUUUUUACAUACUUUACUCACAUGUAUCACUAUUAUGAUUAUAAAAUAAUAACAAAUAAUUUUAGAGAGAAGAAAAACUUUUAAAACUUUUUAAUUUGAAAUAAUACCAAAAAUUUAAAAUUUAUCCUUACAACCUUUUAAAUUACUUUAUGAAUCAGAAGCAUACAUUUAUUGUUCAAAUCCACUUGACUAAAGAUAUUAUAUUUACUUAAAGAAUAUUCUUUGAACUGAGUUUAUUAUACCAAUAAUCUCUCGUUAUAUCUAUACUUUGUUGACAUCUAUAACUGAACAACUUUGAUAAAAUAAAACAAAUAUUUUGAAAGUCGAGUGACAAAAAUAGAAUAAAUUGAAGGAUUGGAAAUUCAACUUUUUUUUCUAAUUUUAUAAAAACAAAAAGAAGAAAUAAUAACUUAAACAUAAUAAAAAAAUUACACAAAAUAUUUAUUUAUUUUUGUGUUGUAGUUAACAGCAUCUCACUUACCAUAUACGCGAAAUGGGAUGAAGUUUUUCACGAAGAGAGGAGGGUUAAGCUCGCCGGAGGUGGAAGAGAUAUGCAACAGAGCCGCCAUGAAGUACGCAAACAGAGUGGUGAAAGUCUCUACUCUUCUCCGAACGCCGCCGUCAAAGGUGGAUUUCAUGGCGGCUUAUUCACAGCAUCUCAGAGAUAUCAUUAAGCAGAGAAUCAAUCAUCCUUUGCAUUAUGACACUCCUCUCAAAGGAUUUCAGGUAUUAGCUUUUCCUUUCACUCUAUCCAUGAGUCGAUACGAAAUUCCUGUUAUCCUCUGCCAAGCUUUUUAUACUGUUUAUAAACAAAAUAAAAAACCCCUCUCCCCUCUUAUAUAACCCUCAAAUUUUGUUUAAUUUUAAUAUUUGAGAACUUUUUUUUUUAAAGUAUCAUCAAUGCUCAUAAUUUUCUUUUAUAAUUCUAACUGACAAAAGUUUAUAAAUACUAUAUAGUUUAUGAAAGGAGUAUCUAUACCGUAAUACAUUUUCUGAAUAAAAAGUUACAAUUCAUAACCACAUUUUAAAAAAAUUAUAAAUAUAGCAAAACUAUAUCGUUGAUAGACUUGGUCAAGUCUAUCAAGGAUAAAUCAAUAUUUGCAGCAUGGUCUAUCGGUGAUAGACUUAUAUUAUUGAUAGAAUUUGACAAAUUUUGUUAUAUUUAUAAAUUUUUUAAAAUGUUGCUAUAUAGUUAAUUAUUUUGAAUCUAAAUACUAAAUUUGCAACUACCGAUUUUGUAAUUAAAUUUUGGUUUUAGUUUUCAUUUGUAAUUAGUUACAUUUUUACUCUUUAACAAAUUUUAAGUUUAUUUUUUAUUUGGUUCCUCCAUUUCAAAAUUUUACAUUUUCGAAUAAUUAUUAUAAGUUUGAUAUUUAAUGAUUAGGUUUAAUUUUUAAAACUUACAUGUUUAUCCUUGAGUUUACAUAAACUUUGAUAUUUAGCUUAUGUUAAGUGACUAAGUAAUGGAAAAGGGAAGUUUUUAAAAAGUAAAGAUUGAAAAUAAAAGUGAGAUUGAAAAAAAAAAGAAAGUUAUUCUAAAAAACUAAAGAAAUAAUAUAAAAAAGAAAUAGGAAGUUGUGUUAUCUAGAUUUUGUGUUGGUUGCAUGGCUUUCUCCUUAUCUCUCGAGAUUUGAACUACGUUUGUGGUGUUUAUUGCUUCAUCCAAAACCACCAUUUGGUUGCUGUCUAUUUUUAGUUUAAUUUCUACUUUUUGUUUCUAUUCAUUUAACUCUAAAUCUUUAUAAAUUAAAAAAUAAAUAAAAAAUUCAGUCUCUCUAUUUUCUCAUUUAUUACUAUUUAGCUUCCAUGUUUAACUAUAUAGUAUUAAAAUUUAAUCAAAUUUUCUAGACCCAUAAUUAUAUUAAAUUUAUUAAAGUUCAGUUUCGUUUAUCAAUAACUAAUUUCAAUAUAUUUCUGUUAUCUAAGUUCUCUUCUCAAAUACUUAACUUUUCCCAUUGAUCAUUUCCCUCUUCAAGUUUUUAUUCACCUAUGUGAUCUCCAAUUAAUUCCCUUUCCACAUAGUUUCUCUUUUCAAACUACUUUAUAGUACAUUGUCAAAUUUACAAGUAUUUUAUGUACAAAGUAUUGGUUAUAUUAGAGAGAAAAAAUACUUAAAGAAAAAAAAUGGGAAAUUUUUAAAUACGUUAAUUUAUAUAUAGAGUAGAGUUUAAAUGCUUUAGUUUAUAUAUAAGUUUAUUUAAAAAGAAAAUGAAUAAAAGGAUGUGUAAUUGAAAGUUUUCCCAAUGAAUUUGCAGAUAAUAGUAAAUGCUGGCAACGGAUCAGGGGGCUUCUUCACAUGGGAUGUGUUAGAUAAGCUGGGCGCAGACACCUUUGGCUCUCUCCAUCUCAACCCAGACGGUAUGUUCCCCAACCACAUCCCUAACCCAGAAGACAAAACCGCCAUGUCUCUCACUCGAGCCAAAGUCCUCGAAAACAAAGCCGACCUCGGUGUCGUCUUCGACACUGACGUUGACCGUAGUGGUGUGGUGGAUCACCAGGGCAACCCAAUCAAUGGUGACAAACUCAUCGCCCUAAUGUCCUCCAUCGUCCUUCGAGACCACCCUGCCACCACCAUCGUCACCGACGCCCGUACCAGUGUUGCUCUCACGAAGUUCAUUACCAGCCGAGGUGGACGACAUUGUCUGUACCGCGUCGGGUAUCGCAAUGUCAUUGACAAAGGAAUCCAACUCAACAUGGAUGGAAUCGAGACGCAUCUC
rnacentral:lncRNA from 1 species